GAUGAACGCUGGCGGCGUGCCUAAUACAUGCAAGUCGAGCGAACGGACGAGAAGCUUGCUUCUCUGAUGUUAGCGGCGGACGGGGGAGUAACACGUGGAUAACCUACCUAUAAGACUGGGAUAACUUCGGGAAACCGUAGCUAAAACCGGAUAAUAUUUUGAACCGCAUGGUUCAAAAGUGAAAGACGGUCUUGCUGUCACUGAUAGAUUGAUCCGCGCUGCAUUAGCUAGUUGGUAAGGUAACGGCUUACCAAGGCAACGAUGCAUAGCCGACCUGAGAGGGUGAUCGGCCACACUGGAACUGAGACACGGUCCAGACUCCUACGGGAGGCAGCAGUAGGGACUCUUCCGCAAUGGGCGAAAGCCUGACGGAGCAACGCCGCGUGAGUCCUGAAGGUCUUCGGAUCGUAAAACUCUGUUAUUAGGGAAGAACAUAUGUGUAAGUAACUGUGCACAUCUUGACGGUACCUAAUCAGAAAGCCACGGCUAACUACGUG
rnacentral:rRNA from 1 species